GGGUCAAGCAUAAGUUGUCCAAAUGAAGUUACUAUGCCAUGACAUGAACUAGUGAUGCCUGUCCUUAAGAAAUAACAUUUUCAAGAGGUCUGAUGUCUGUAUCUGUCACAUGGAUGCUUGUCCUGCACCCAAUCAAAUAAGUCCUUUCAUUUUUUAAUUUAUUUAGUUGGAGGGAACAUGUAUUAAUACCUUAAAACAUAUAGAAAUGUGUGUAACUACUUAGAAUAGUGACAAAAUGAGAAAUAUGGAGUGCUAUCACUUAAUUCCCCCUCUUUUACAUUUCUUUUAAGAUUGAUAGUUCAGAAACUAAAGCCUGAAAAUAGAUUUUAAGAUUCUUUUAUCACACCUUUUUUUCAAUGUUAGAAUGUUGAAAAUGGCAUUUUACUUUUUUGAUAUGAGAAAACUUGUUGAAAACUGUAAAGAACAGCAAGAGCACAGCUUGGAUGGGGAAGAAGAAAACUGUACUUCUGUGUCUCCCAAUUGAAUACUCCAUGUGGAGUUUAAAUAGACAAAGGUUCCUAAAAUCUAGGAAUUUAAAAUACAAACAAAACUAUUUAAAAUACUAAUACAACAACAACAACAUAUCUAGCCUUUAUCCCAUUAUGUGGGGUUGGCUACAUGAAUUCUAGACUUCCAUGUAUUUCUGUCUUUUGUCAUAUCUUCAUUUAGGUUCUGUUGGAGAGUCCUAGUUACUAAGGAGGUUAUCAAAAAGAAGAAACCGGCAAGAGGAUAAUAAUUCAGUGAAGAUAAGGAUCAAGUGCAGUGAAGAUAAACUCCUAAAAAUCAGGAUAAAUAAUAGGAGAAGAUAGGAGUUAAAAUAGCAAUUAUCUUGAUUAAAUUAUACUCUAAAAUCUAUUGUAUAUUAUCUCCUAAAUAGUAGGACUAGAUAGCAUAGAAACUUGUAUAAAUAGAGUUCCUAUCAUUGAAUGAAAGUAUCGAGAAUUUCCAUCUCAUUGCUUGAUCCAAAUCCUAGGUUCCUGGUUUGGGAACCGAUUGUGUUCAUGGUAUCAGAGCUCGGUUAUCAUAACCAAGACUCUCAAUCAAUAUGGCCGGUUCUAAUCUAGCAACCCCAACUCCUACGGUAGAAGAAUCCUCUUGUAGUUUAGUCCCUCAACCACCGAUCACACAGGCGACCAUACCUCUUGCUAACAUUCUCACCAUGGAUAACCAAACGUUGCAGAUUACACAACACAAGUUAAACGGAAGAAACUUCAGGGAAUGGUUUCAGUCCGUGACCUUGGUGAUCAAAGGCAAGGGGAAGUUCGGUUACCUCACCGGGGCUAUCCAAACUCCUCUAGAAGAGUCAACGGAAUACCAGCGAUGGGAAGUAGAAAACUCUAUUCUCAUGGUAUGGCUGAUCAACUCGAUGGAAUCAAAGAUAGGCUGAACCUAUCUGUUUUACAAGACUGCAAAAGAGGUGUGAGAUGCAAUCCAAGAAUUAUACUCUGAUCUUGAAAACAUAGUCUCGUGUUUUGAGAUUAGAGCAGCUAUUAGGAUUACAAAACAAGGUGGUCUCGGGCUCACCGAAUACUACAACAGCCUAGUAGAGCUUUGGCAAGAGAUGGAUCUAUUUUAUGAUCCAAAAUGGGAGUGUUUAGGUGAUAGUCAGAAGUACAACAGAAUGUUGGAGAAAGAGCAGGUGUUUGACUCAGUGUUCGAAAAUUCGGCCUAGGCGGCGGCCUAGGCGUCGAGCGGCAACCGGCCGCAGCGAUUUAGGGCUACUCGGCAGCCCUAUGCGCCAUGGCCGACUAAUCGGGCCGCGGUGCCGCCUAGGCGGACCAGGCGGCGCCUAACCGCCUGGGUGGCGGCCUGUGUCGUGCACGACCUGGGCCACCUAGGUCGUGCGCGUCUUGGGCCGACCUUAUUUCCCCCUCUCUUUCUCUAUUCCCCCUUUCCCUUUCUCUCUCUGGUUGUGUUCAUCGCGGCUCCUCUCUCUCUCUCUCGCCUUCGAUCUCCUCUUGGUCGUUCGCCGUCGCCAUUGAUCUCUUCUCUUGGUCUUGCUCUCUCGUUGCUGCCGACCUCACCUGUUGGUCGUUCUCUCUCGUCGCCGAUCGCGUCUUGCUGCGGUAUGUAUCCAACUAUCCAUCUUCCUCCGCCAACGCAGCAGCAAGCAGCAACGCAAAGCUGCUCGUUGCUCGCUUGCGUAUUGCGCUUCAACAAGUAGCAAGCUUGCUGCUUCGUUGCUGCAGCAGCUGUUGAUUUCAUUAGUUGAGUUUUAAUUAAAUUUCAAUGUAUAUUAUUCAAUACUCAGUGAAAAACAAGAAAACAGGAAGUGAAAUGAAUGAUUCGGAUAGGACUGGAAGUACGGGAGCAUCGUCCGAGGCCUCCUCAAUUCUUAAAAGGAAGUCAAAUGAUGUUGGAUGGGAGUAUGGAAUAUUAAUUGAUCCGAAGAAUAUGGAUAAAAUUAAAUGUAAGUUGUGUGGUAAAAUUAUGUCUGGAGGUGUUUACAGAGUAAAAGAACACAUUGGCCACAUUUCUGGAAAUGUUUCUGCAUAUCCAAAAUCUUCUCCAACUGAUCAAGCCAAAUGUAAGAAUGCUAUUGCCGAGGUAAAGAAUAAGAGGAAAAAUAAGGAGGAGGAGGAAGAUUUGAUGAGAUCAACUGUUAAUAUCUCUGAAAGAGUGGAAGGGGAUGAUGAAGAUGAAUUGCAAGAGUUAGGUAGCAGAAAAACGUCCUGUACUCUUGGUCCUAUGGAUAAGUUUGCUAGCUCCAUCAGCCCUGAAACUUGUUUGAGUGCGAGAAUGACCCAAAGGCAACAAACUAUUAGUGAAGCACUAUUUAAAGAGAGAACACAGUCUGUUCGUGAAUAUUGUGCUAGAUGGGUGUAUGAAGCUGGUAUACCUUUCAAUGCGAUUGACAAUGAUAGCUUCAAAUUGUUUGUUGAGGCGGUUGGUCAAUUUGGGCCGGGCUUCAAACCUCCUAGUCAAUACCAAUUGAAGAAACCGCUAUUAAAGGGGGAAGUUGAUAGAAUAAAAGAGUUAUUGAAGAAACAUGAAGAAGAGUGGGCACGAACUGGGUGCUACAUUAUGACAAAUGCUUGGACAGAUAGAAAAAUGAGGAGUAUCACUAACUUAUGUGUUAAUUCUAAUGCAGGUAUUGCUUUCCUUUCUUCUAGAGAGUCUUCAGAUGAAGCACAUACAAGUGAACUUAUCUUUGAGUAUGUGGAUAAGUGCAUUGAGCAAGUUGGGCUACAAAACGUCAUCCAAGUAGUAACCGACAAUGCUGCCAAUAAUAUGGGAGCGGCAAAAUUAUUGAAGGUGAAGAGGCCAAAUAUCUUUUGGACCUCAUGUGCUAUUCACACCAUCAAUUUGAUGCUUGAAAGUAUUGGAAAACUGGUAAAGUAUAAGAAAGUCAUUGAUCAGGCCAAGAGUUUCACAAUCUUCAUUUAUGCACACCAUAAGACCUUGUCCUUAAUGAGGUCAUUUACGAAGAAGAGGGAUAUAGUGAGACCAGGAGUCACUAGAUUCGCUUCUGCUUUCUUGACUUUACAGAGUUUGAUGGAGAAAAAGGCCCAACUGAGGGCAAUGUUUACCAGCUUUGAAUGGGAGGAGUGCAAAUGGUCGAAGAUUGUUAAAGGGAAAGCAGCCUAUGCUACUGUGAUGAGCAUUGCUUUUUGGAAUGGUGUGAUUAUAUGCCUUAAGGUUUUUCACCUUUGGUGAAGGUGCUUCGAAUUGUUGAUGCGGAUAAAAAGCCUUUUAUGGGCUUUUUAUGUAGAGAGAUUAAGCAAGCAAAGGAAGAUAUUAAGGAGGCCUUAAAUAAUCUUGAAAAGAACUAUAAGCCUAUUAUGGAGAUUAUUUAAGCAAGGGUAAAAGAUAGGCUAGAUAGUCCACUACAUUUUGCAGCUUACCUUUUGAAUCCCUACUACUUUUUCAAGGAUAUGGAUAUACAACUUGAUAAUGAAGUGAUGGAUGGGAUUUUUAACUGUGUGGAGAUGUUUUAUCAUUAUGAUGGUCAAUUGCAAGGCCAUGUUAUAAAUGUUGAGUUACCAAAGUAUACUCGUAAAGAUGGAGCUUUUGAAAAAUCGUGGGCAACUCAAGGGUGUGCGAAAAAUGAUGACAAUUAUAAUCCAGGUAUAAAAUUCCUUUAAUCCUUUCUAUUAUGUUUUAGUGUAUAAAUUAAAUUUGUUUACUUUAUACUUGUUUGACCUAUGUAGUUACAUGGUGGAUGACUUAUGGAAAUCAAACUCCAAACUUGCAACGAAUGGCGAGAAAAAUUAUUUCGUUAACCACUAGUUCAUCCGGUUGUGAAAGAAAUUGGAGCACUUUUGAAGGGAUACAUAUGAAGAAAAGAAAUAGACUAAGCAUGAAUCAAUUGAACAAUCUAGUCUAUGUUCAAUUUAAUGCGAAAUUGAUGAACAAGCACAAAAGGGAGAAGGAAAGGAAUGUUGAUGUGCUACUUGCUAGUGAUGCUAGUAAUGCACAAGGAUGGAUCGUUGAUGGAGAAGAUGAUGAAGAAGUUGAGCCUGGUACGAGGCUCACUUGGGAAGUGGUUGGUGAAGCAUCGGGAGCAGAUGAGAUGCUUCAAGCUCGAAGAAGUUCUAGGAUGAGAGAGCUUCAUGAAGAUGAUUUUCAAUCAGAAGAAGAAGAUGAGCAAGAAAUCAAUGAAUUUGAUUUUGAGUCCGAUGAAGAUCGUGUAUUGGAAGAAUAUGGAGAGGAAGAAUACCAAUUAGAUAGUUAGACUUAGAUUCUUCGGAUAUGGUUUAUGUUGUAUUAUUGCUACUUCUACCUUCUUGAACUUAUAACUAAUAUAAUAGUUUAUUUUCUGAGUCUUAA